rnacentral:rRNA from 1 species
AUUGAACGCUGGCGGCAGGCCUAACACAUGCGAGUCGAGCGGAUGAAGGGAGCUUGCUCCUGGAUUCAGCGGCGGACGGGUGAGUAAUGCCUAGGAAUCUGCCUGGUAGUGGGGGAUAACGUCCGGAAACGGGCGCUAAUACCGCAUACGUCCUGAGGGAGAAAGUGGGGGAUCUUCGGACCUCACGCUAUCAGAUGAGCCUAGGUCGGAUUAGCUAGUUGGUGGGGUAAAGGCCUACCAAGGCGACGAUCCGUAACUGGUCUGAGAGGAUGAUCAGUCACACUGGAACUGAGACACGGUCCAGACUCCUACGGGAGGCAGCAGUAGGGAAUAUUGGACAAUGGGCGAAAGCCUGAUCCAGCCAUGCCGCGUGUGUGAAGAAGGUCUUCGGAUUGUAAAGCACUUUAAGUUGGGAGGAAGGGCAGUAAGUUAAUACCUUGCUGUUUUGACGUUACCAACAGAAUAAGCACCGGCUAACUUCGUG